AGCUGGAGGAAGGAGUGAAUUGCAGAAACAGCUGGUUGGAGAUCCUGGCGCCUGGAGACAAAUAAGUCUAGGGGCAAGAAGGUCCCCAAGCGCCAUCCACUCUUUGGCUGUGGGUUUCUGCAUCUAUCUGAAAGGAGGCAGAUGGGGGCAUCUCCAGGACGAAAUGAAGACCUGGGAGAGGGAAGACGCCCAAGAAUCAAUGAUUAUGGUGGGGUAUUCCCUCCUUGCUUGUUUCCCGUGCAGAUGCAUCUCACAGCAUUCCCAGCAUAUGCCUUGCUAGUCACACAGCUGUCAGAGGCACCCAUGGAAAGAUCCAAGAGCUGAGUCCUGUGAAGAGCACAGCCCUCUCCACAUGCAGUUUUACCACUACAGUCUGCCUGAAUAACACCAAGGGUGAUCUCAUGGGAAGUAAAAGGAACUCUGCAUGAUUUAGCCCUUCCCUCCCCUGCUCAGCUGGCCUGCACAGCCCUAUCUCAUCCAGUUCCCUCCAUGGCCUAUUGUUACCCUUUAAGACAAUUCCACUUAGUCUUCUGAAUUUGACCUCCACUUUCUUCGUCUAACUCAAUGGUUUUCAACCCUAACUACAUACUGCCUAUUAGAAUCACCUAUAAACUAAAAAUGUAUUUGGUAAAAUAUAAUCAGUCCCCAACUAAUAACUAAGAAUUAGGUGAGGGAGUAUGGAAUUUAUACAUUGGUGUUUUUAAGAAUUUCAAACAAGAAGGGGAGUUGUUAAAGAUAUCGAUUCAUGUGCAUCAUAAGGAGAGCUGGGAGACUGACUGCAAGUGCUGGAGCCAGGAGAAAAUUCAACCCUCCUUCUAGUAUGCUGCCCUACAAAGAAGGUGUCUCCACUCUCAACUCCACCUUGGAAAUAAAGUUCAAGAGUCAAGCCCAGAGACUACUUUAA